AGAUUUAAAGUUAAUUCUAGCUUUGAUAUUUAUUGUUUAUUUAAUUAAAUUAUAUAUAAAUUUUUGUAUUAUUUUUAAUAAUCUUUAAAAGAUUAUUAUUAUAAAUUUAUAAAUAUAAUAUUUAAAAUUAAAAAUUAAAGAAAUUUAGAUUUAGUAAUAUAAAAAUUAUUAAUAAAAUUUGUGCCAGCAAUUGCGGUUAUACUAAUAAUAAAAUAAAUAUUAUUUAUUAUAAUUAAUAUAGAAUUUAUUUAAAAUAAAAUUUAAAUUUAUGUGGUAAAAUAUUUAAAUUUAAAUAAAUUUUAAUUAUAAAUUUAUAUGAAGUUAAUAAAUAUAUAAAUAAACUAGGAUUAGAUACCCUAUUAUAAAAUUAAAAUAAUUAAAAUAAGUAGUAAUAGAUAUAGUCUUGAAACUUAAAGAAUAUGGCAGUAUUUUAAUCUAUUUAGAGGAACCUGUUUAUUAAUUGAUACUCCACAAUUUAUUUUACUUAAUUUUAUUUAAUUUGUAUAUCGUUGUUAUAAAAAUAUUUUUUAGAAAUGAAAAUUUUAAAUUUUUAAUAAAAAAUUAUAUCAAAUCAAGAUGCAGUUUAUAGUUAAGAAUUUAAUGGGUUAUAAUAAAUUAAUUUUUAGAUUAAUAUAAUGAAAAAUAAAUAUGAAAUUAGAUUUAAAAGUAAUUUAAAUUAAUUAAUUUAAAUGAUAAAAGUUCUAAAAUAUGCACAUAUUGCCCGUCACUUUCAUUUUAAAUUGAAAUAAGUCGUAACAUAGUAGAAGUACUGGAAAGUGUUUCUAGAAAGAU
rnacentral:ncRNA from 1 species